rnacentral:tRNA from 1 species
AGAGGAUUAGUUCAAUCAGGUAGAACGUUGGUUUCCAAAACCAACAAUAGAGGUUCAAAUCCUCUAUCCUCUG